rnacentral:rRNA from 1 species
GACGAACGCUGGCGGCGUGCUUAACACAUGCAAGUCGAACGGAAAGGCCUCUUUCGGGGGGUACUCGAGUGGCGAACGGGUGAGUAACACGUGAGUAACCUGCCCUUGACUUUGGGAUAACUUCAGGAAACUGGGGCUAAUACCGGAUAGGAGCUCCUGCUGCAUGGUGGGGGUUGGAAAGUUUCGGCGGUUGGGGAUGGACUCGCGGCUUAUCAGCUUGUUGGUGGGGUAGUGGCUUACCAAGGCUUUGACGGGUAGCCGGCCUGAGAGGGUGACCGGCAACAUUGGAACGGGAAUACGGCCCGGCCCCCACCGGGAGGCGGCGGUGGGGAAUAUGGCACAAGGGUGGAAGCCUGAUGCAGCAACGCCGUGUGCGGGAUGACGGCCUUCGGGUUGUAAACCGCUUUCGCUCAUGACGAAGCUUUGUGUGACGGUAGUGGGUAAAGAAGCACCGGCUAACUACGUG